rnacentral:lncRNA from 1 species
UUUUAUAUAAGAAAUUAUGCACUAUAUACAACUUUUUUAUAUUUAGCAUCUGCCUCAACUAGUAAACAUCAGGGUAUGCCAAAAUAUUAAAUGAACACAACAUUCAAUUAAUUGGUUAUUUAAUUAGAAAUUUAAAAGUGUCAUAUUUUCAGAAAAAUGAACAGUUAUUAUAUAAUGACGGAUUCACUCAGAACUGUUGAUAAUUUGAACGAAUCCGGCAUUUUAUUUAAUUGGAUUUAAGUUAUUUAGCUGUCAAUCAAACAAAAUGCCAAAUUCAAACAAAAUGCCAAAUUCGCUCAAAUUCUCAACAGUUUUGACGUCUUUGUAACUUUGUAUUCCAAAAUUAUCAAUUACUGAAAAUUUAUUAAAUGGUGUUAAAUUUUCCACAGUUCAGAGUUAUUCUUUUUAGUCCACUAUUUUAGGUCCUCAAUCAGUUGAGGCCAAUUUGUCUUUUUGCAAUUGCAUUAUAUUCAUCUUCUUUCUCGCUCAUACCACCAAAAAUGCCUUUUGCCCCUCUCUCUAACUUUCCCCUUAGAGAUCCUCUUUCUCUCCAACUAGGGUUUCCUCUCUAAACACAACAAAAAGAAUCCCAAUAAUUGAAUUGAAAAUCUCCUUGAGUUUUUAAAUCUCUCCUUCUUAUAGUAAAGAUACAAACGAGAGAAACAAAGAAGAUCAAACCAUUCUGGUUAGAUAUCUCGGGCACUUUCUCUUGUUGCUCCAUUAAAAGGUAAGACCAAAGGUAUUACAUAUUCUAUACUCAGUAAAUUAUUCACGCAUAAACAUAAUUGUAUAAUAUAAAUAGACUGUACUGCUAUGUUGAUUGGUUAUUUUGAACUAGAGAGUUUAGAUCAUGGUAAUUUGAUCACUGAUCUUGAGAUUUGCAAGUUAUAACUAGACGACCUUUAUUUACAAAAAAAAGUUACAGUUGAACUUGUAGUCUAGAUUUCACGACUUAGAUGUAUUGAAGGUACCAUACUCAUAACAAUAAACCUUAAGUAUAUAUAAAGCAAUUUAAUUAGGUCGUAAAUUCAAGAAACUAAACCAAUAUAUAGAAGCGGAGAGAUCUCAGAGUCAGAGAGUGCUGUGAUGAUAAAAUCAAGAAAAGCUGCUAAAUUAAACGCCAAGAACAAAGAUUCAACGGCAAGGGUGUUUUUAGGUUCGAAUUAAAGAAAACGAGUAAUCACAAAUUUCCACGAACUUUUUUCUUUAAUUUUCCAAUGUUUUUAACCAAACUUGGUGGUUCACAAAUACUCAUACUUACAACGAAAGCCAUGUUAUUUUAAAAAAAAAAGAUAUAGCUCUGGUGUAUGAAACGAAAAAAAUGUACAUAUACUUUCUUUAAAUUCUUAUGAAAAUUGUCACAAUUGAAUUUAAUUCAUGUAUGUGAAAACAAGUUGUUUUCGUAUUUUGAGAAGUACAUGAUCGUUGAACCAAAAAAAGAGAAGUACAUGAUCCCGUCAGAUUUUACCAACCAAAUACUAUAGAACGUAAAAACUAAUACAUCUAGAUUAACAUCUAUCCCAAAGGUAAUAUGUAAAACUGAUUUAUUACAUAGGAAUGUCUAGGAUAUAUGUAUAUAGUGGCUUGAUAUGUGGUAUUAGAUGGUAAAAGCAUUUCAAUGCAGUAAAAACUCUAAGGGUAAUGAAUUUUGGGGGAUAAAAAACAUAAAUAACAUCAUUUGUCAUGUAACCACCUAUAUUGAUGAUGAGAUUACUAUCUCUACUUAGCUUUCUUACUAAAAAUAAUGAAUUCUGAGGCUAAAAAUACUAAUGACUUCUUAUGUCUUAUAACCAACUAUGAUGACACAAUCUUAUACUAGUUAAAUGAAAAAAAUAUGUAUAUGAUUACAUCUUUCUUUUUUUCAUUUCCGCGACUGAAAAUUCAGGGGAUAUAACCAAAAAUGUCAUCAUCGUAUUCGAACUACACAAACUCACCGUGCGCAGCAUGCAAGUUCCUCCGGCGGAAAUGCACGUCAGACUGCGUAUUCGCACCAUAUUUUCCACCAGAGGAACCUUUAAAGUUUGCGAACGUCCACCGGAUCUUCGGAGCAAGCAACGUGAGCAAGAUCCUCCAUGAAGU